AGGGGGGGGGAGAGAGAGGGAGAGAGAGAGAGUGCGGGGGGGAGAGAGAGCGGGGGGGAGAGAGAGAGGGCGGGGGGGGUAGAGAGAGAACUAAUAUCUGAGACCGUCAUAGCCAGCCGUGCACAUUAGUCCUACGAUACAAUUGUUUUCCCUGAAAU